rnacentral:rRNA from 1 species
AACUGCUAAACCCUUGUGAAUAUACCUGUAUAGUUGCUUCGGCGAGCAGCCCCAGGGCGGGGCCGCAGCCUUUUAUAGGUGCUCGCCGACAGCAGUAAAACUCUUUAUUUUACAGUUUCUCUGAGUUAUAAAUAAAAUAAGUUAAAACUUUCAACAACGGAUCUCUUGGCUUUGGCAUCGAUGAAGAACGCAGCGAAAUGCGAUAAGUAAUGUGAAUUGCAGAAUUCAGUGAAUCAUCGAAUCUUUGAACGCACAUUGCGCCCAUUAGUAUUCUAGCGGGCAUGCCUGUUCGAGCGUCAUUUCAACCCUCAGGCCUUUAGUUGUCUGGUGUUGGGGCAUCUACAGCGAUGUAGGCUCCGAAAAACAGUGGCGGUGCUCGCCAGCACUCCGGGCGCAGUAGUUUAUUUCUCGCCUAGGACGUCUGGUAGGCUACCGGCCUUAAAACCCCCUAAAUUUUAAAAGGUUGACCUCGAAUCAGGUAGGAAUACCCGCUGAACUUAAGCAUAUCAAUAAGCGGAGGAAAAGAAACCAACAGGGAUUGCCCUAGUAACGGCGAGUGAAGCGGCAACAGCUCAAAUUUGAAAUCUGGCUUAGGCCCGAGUUGUAAUUUGCAGAGGAUGCUUUUGAUGCGGCGCUUUCUGAGUUCCCUGGAACGGGACGCCAUAGAGGGUGAGAGCCCCGUAUAGUUGGACGCCAAGUCUCUGUAAAGCUCCUUCGACGAGUCGAGUAGUUUGGGAAUGCUGCUCAAAAUGGGAGGUAAAUUUCUUCUAAAGCUAAAUACCGGCCAAAGACCGAUAGCGCACAAGUAGAGUGAUCGAAAGAUGAAAAGCACUUUGAAAAGAGGGUUAAAAAGCACGUGAAAUUGUUGAAAGGGAAGCGCUUAUGACCAGACUUGUGCCUUGUGGAUAAGCCAGCGUUCUCGCUGGUGUUUCUUCUCGGCUCAGGCCAGCAUCGGUUUUCCUAGGGAGAUAAAAGCUUUAGGAACGUAGCUCUUUCGGGAGUGUUAUAGCCUAUUGCACAAUAUCUCUAGGGGGACCGAGGACCGC